GAGCUACUCCCUCCGUUCGGAAUUACUUGUCGCAGAAAUGGAUGUAUCUAGACGUAUUUUAGUUCUAGAUACAUCCAUUUUCGCGACAAGUAAUUCCGAACGGAGGGAGUAUCUC
rnacentral:pre_miRNA from 1 species